AGGGUGUUACAUAUGCAAGUGUGGUAUGAAUGCUCCAUUGAUGACGACAUGGACAUAUGCUAACCAAAUCGUCGUUUCUAUGGAUGUGAGAUGUAUAAGGUUACAAGAAAUGUAGUCACUUUGUUUGGUUGGAUGAGGAUAUGAAUCCUAGGGAAAAAGAGUUAAUCUUUGCAUUAUUAAAGAACAUAAAUGAAGAGAAGGCAAUGGUUAAAUCUUACAAAGCAAAAGAGAAAGAAUUGAAGAUGAAAGUGAAGAUGUUGAAGAAACAGUUGAAGAUAAAUUGGAUGUUGUUUGUUAUGUUGUUUGCAUUUGUUGGGACAACAUAGAUUCAAUAUGUUGUAGGUUGAUUAGGUUCUAGGUUAUGUUCUUAUGUUGUCUGAUAUAAUAUUGUAAGAUGGAUUGUAAUAUAAUUUGAAUGAAAAUAUUGGUUAUGUUCUUAUGUUGUCUGAUACAAUGCUUAUGUUGUUAUGUUGUCAGAUAUAAUGCAUACUGCUAUUACUAGUUUUGUCACUCUGUUAUAUGUUGGAUCUAUAAUGUUUCACUCUAAUAUAAUGUAUACUGCUAUUACUA